GGCCAGACUCCUACGGGAGGCAGCAGUGGGGAAUAUUGCACAAUGGGGGGAACCCUGAUGCAGCGACGCCGCGUGGGUGAAGGAGCACCUCGGUGCGUAAAGCCCUAUCGGCAGGGAAGAAAAGCGAACAGGUUCGCCUGGACGGUACCUGACUAAGAAGCCCCGGCUAACUACGUGCCAGCAGCCGCGGUAAUACGUAGGGGGCAAGCGUUAUCCGGAUUCACUGGGGGUAAAGGGAGCGUAGACGGCGACGCAAGUCUGGAGUGAAAGGCGGGGGCCCAACCCCCGGACUGCUUUGGAAACUGUAUAGCUGGAGUGCAGGAGAGGUAAGUGGAAUUCCUAGUGUAGCGGUGAAAUGCGUAGAUAUUAGGAGGAACACCAGUGGCGGAGGCGGCCUGCUGGACGAUGACUGACGUUGAGGCUCGAAAGCGUGGGGAGCAAACAGGAUUAGAUACCCCGGUAAC
rnacentral:rRNA from 1 species